rnacentral:rRNA from 1 species
UACGUAGGGCGCAAGCGUUAUCCGGAAUUACUGGGCGUAAAGGGCGCGUAGGCGGCCCGCUAAGUCGAACGUGAAAUCCCCGAGCUCAACUCGGGAACUGCGUCCGAUACUGGUGGGCUUGAAUCCGGGAGAGGGAUGUGGAAUUCCAGGUGUAGCGGUGAAAUGCGUAGAUAUCUGGAGGAACACCAAUGGCGAAAGCAGGUGACUGGACCCGUAUUGACGCUCAUCCACGAAAGCUGGGGGAUCAAACAGG